rnacentral:lncRNA from 1 species
AGAACUCGAGCCUCAUGAUAUCAAAUAUGAUAGGGCCAGCGGAGCAAAUGGCUUUGGCGGAUCAUCUAGUUAGAGGAGUUUACUUUAUGGUGUUAGGUAUACCGCAGGUAUGUGGUUAAUACUUAUUACUGUCUAUUUGCGGAAUUUUAUUGUGUGCCAAUUAUAUUUUGUUGGCGAGUUCUUACUUAGCUAGGAUUUUGGUUCCUUAUUUCAUUAAAAUUUUGGUUACUUAAUUACCAAUUAUUAUUUAGUCCUAUUGUAAUACAGAUUUAUUUUAUAUUGUAAUUUAGAUAUAUUUCCUAUUUUAUUUAGGGUUAACACAUCUUUGUACUUGUAUAAAUACCUCCAUAUUGGAGAAGAAUAACAAUAUAAGCAUAUACAAGCAUAUCUGUAUAUUUGCCCUACUUUGUUUGACAUGGUAUCAAAGCCUAGUUCCUAACCUGUAAUAACCUCUGCCAAAUUGAGAGUCGUUGGCACUCCUCAUUCAUAACCCAUCAUGGGUCUUCAUCUUGUAUAGUCACCAUCUUUUGUUCAUCCUCUCAUAUGUGUUUUCACCGCACCUAGCCUUCACAUGCUUCUUUGCUACUGUUCCAAAAAUUUUAUUUUUUCAUCUUUGUGUGCCAGAUUAUCUUUCUUCAUGUCUCAGCUUCUUUAUCUUUGAAACUUCAUAACAAGUCUCUUUACUCCGUGAGCCUCGUCACCGCUCACCGAGCCGUUGUUUUCCUCCGCAAGCCUCAUCACCGCUCAUCGAGCCUUUCCUUUGACUGUUCUGCCAGUCUCUGUCUUCUUUGGCUGCUCUCUUGAGUUACCUUUCCGCUUCUCAGUUUGAGCACCUUAUCUUUG